rnacentral:sRNA from 1 species
UCCUCACUGAGUGGGGGGCGGUGGCCGCAA